AGAGUUAAAAAGUACGUGAAAUUGUUAAAAGGGAAACGAUUGAAGCCAGUCGUACCGACGGAAAAUCAACUUUUCGGGUGCUUAUCGUGGGUGAUGUUGAGCCUUACGGUCUUCAUCGCUUAUGUUGUGGUGCCUUUGAGGUGCACUUUUUCGUAUGGUAGGUCAACAUCGAUUUUGAUCGUCAUAAAAUGAUCGGAGGAAUGUAGCUUCAUUUUUUUUGAAGUGUUAUAGCCUUUGGUAGAUGUGGUAAUCGGGAUCGAGGAUUGCAAUGAAUACCCUUUUGGGCUAUCCGUCUGAUCUCUGAACGUCGCCCGGGUACUGAAAGCUUGCUUACGGACAUUCAGGUUUGGCGGUCAACAGGUUAGAACGUGAUUAUAUUCAUUAAGGAUGUUGACGUAAUGGCUUUAAACGACC
rnacentral:rRNA from 1 species